GACUCAUUAGUUUAGUUGGUUAGAGUAUUAUGCUAAUAAAUUGAAAGUCAUAAGUUCAAGUCUUGUUUGGGUCA
rfam:Glycine soja cultivar W05 scaffold4129_15, whole genome shotgun sequence.